UACGUAGGUGACAAGCGUUGUCCGGAUUUACUGGGCGUAAAGAGCGCGCAGGCGGUCGUUCAAGUCGAGUGUGAAAGCCCCCGGCUCAACUGGGGAGGGUCAUUCGAUACUGAUCGACUCGAAGGCAGGAGAGGGUAGUGGAAUUCCCGGUGUAGUGGUGAGAUGCGUAGAUAUCGGGAGGAACACCAGUGGCGAAGGCGACUACCUGGCCUGUUCUUGACGCUGAGGCGCGAAAGCUAGGGGAGCAAACGGG
rnacentral:rRNA from 1 species